GUCCCCGGCUCCAGUUCAGAUCCUUCCUGGUGACCUAGCCUUGGGCGCACAUCAGCUCAGGUAUCAAUCUGUGCCUCUGUUGCCACCUGAGAACAAGCAGCGGGUAACCUCGCCCGAGGACUCCUCAAAGAAGGUACCAGGCACAGAGUCGAACUGGCGAAACCGACUCCAGUGACUGGUGCAGGGAAGUGCUCGCUGGUUGAACCUUGCUUCUGGCUCUGCUGAGGUAGAUGGGUUUACGUUUCACGUAGCUGGCUCGCACCGUGAUACCCUGCCCAGCCCUCCUGCCCUCUGAGUAUUGUUUAUGGGUUUGUAGUUUUAUUAAUAAAUAACAUUGGUA
rnacentral:lncRNA from 1 species